ACGGGGGGAGCAAGCGUUGUCCGGAUUUAUUGGGCGUAAAGGGCGCGUAGGCGGCGUGAUAAGUCAGGAGUGAAAUUCCUGGUUUUAACGGGGGAGUUGCUUUGGAUACUGUCGGGCUUGAGUGCAGGAGAGGUAAGUGGAAUUCCCGGUGUAGCGGUGAAAUGCGUAGAGAUCGGGAGGAACACCAGUGGCGAAGGCGACUUACUGGACUGUAACUGACGCUGAGGCGCGAAAGUGUGGGGAGCAAACAG
rnacentral:rRNA from 1 species